rnacentral:rRNA from 1 species
UACGUAGGGGGCAAGCGUUGUCCGGAUUCAUUGGGCGUAAAGGGUGCGUAGGUGGCGCCGUAAGUCAGGUGUGAAAUUUCGGAGCUUAACUCCGAAACUGCAUUUGAUACUGCGGUGCUUGAGGACUGGAGAGGAGACUGGAAUUUACGGUGUAGCAGUGAAAUGCGUAGAUAUCGUAAGGAAGACCAGUGGCGAAGGCGGGUCUCUGGACAGUUCCUGACACUGAGGCACGAAGGCCAGGGGAGCAAACGGG